GAUGAGCGCUGGCGGCGUGCCUAAUACAUGCAAGUCGAGCGAACGGACGAGAAGCUUGCUUUUCUGAUGUUAGCGGCGGACGGGUGAGUAACACGUGGAUAACCUACCUAUAAGACUGGGAUAACUUCGGGAAACCGGAGCUAAUACCGGAUAAUAUUUUGAACCGCAUGGUUCAAAAGUGAAAGACGGUCUUGCUGUCACUUAUAGAUGGAUCCGCGCUGCAUUAGCUAGUUGGUAAGGUAACGGCUUACCAAGGCAACGAUGCAUAGCCGACCUGAGAGGGUGAUCGGCCACACGGGAACUGAGACACGGUCCAGACUCCUACGGGAGGCAGCAGUAGGGAAUCUUCCGCAAUGGGCGAAAGCCUGACGGAGCAACGCCGCGUGAGUGAUGAAGGUCUUCGGAUCGUAAAACUCUGUUAUUAGGGAAGAACAUAUGUGUAAGUAACUGUGCACAUCUUGACGGUACCUAAUCAGAAGGCCACGGCUAACUACGUG
rnacentral:rRNA from 1 species